CUGCCGUCCACAUCUCACACACACACACACACACACACACGCUCUAAUUUUAACCUUAGACCCAGGUAUUAACCUACUUCAGCGGUGAAUGACACGAGCAGCAGCCAAAAUGUUCCUAAACUCGUGCUUUACUUGGCUUUGGCGAUGACCGGGAUGUCGGUGAACAGGAAGAGGUGUCGGUCCUGAGUCUGCAUCCCCGUCUUCAGCUGCGCGUGUCCGUGGAGGAGAAAGGACUGGACCGACGGACAGGUCUCGGGACACACGGGGGCCACAUCACUGACGCUCGAACUGAGCACUGCAGAUUCGACGCGCAGCUUGUUUUCAUUCGAUGCAACUACGUCAUAUUAACCGACAGGAGGCCGCGGGGGAAUCUCCAUCUCAGACCACAUUUCCUGUAAACUACUUCUGCUUCUUGUUUUACGAAAAGUUUCAGAUGAACAUCAAAAAAGUCCCGUCAUAUGUGGAUGAAGCUUCUUGAAAAAAUCUAAUGUUGAGUCUUGGUGACAUGGUGAUUAAUGCAGAGAAAAGAAGAGCCGCCAACCAGGUUCAUCUAAGUCAUACAGCAGGGAGAGGUCCACUGCAUCUGCUGUUAUGCAAUGGGAUUCUGCUGCGACGGAGGCGCAAAUCAGAUCUGCAGCUGCGGAUCGCUUGAAGCAUGCCCCGGGACGAGUUGGAGGAGGUUACAAUUAGGUCUCGUUAGCAACUGAAUUUUUACUCUUUUCUAAUUUUAAAUACUUUUAUAUAUUUAUAGUUUUGUUAUUUUCGUUUUAUUCAAUGUUCACUGUUGUACAAUGUAUUUUAAAUGUGUUCGUGGCUUUUCAUCAAAGCUCUUGAAUAAAAUUGGAUAGUGUGAAUCUUAAA